AUAGAAGAGAGAAAUGGAGAAAGGAGGGGAAGAUGGAGAGAAGGAGAGAAAGACAGACACCUGCAGACCUGGUUCACCGCCUGUGAAGCGACUAGCUUGCAGGAGAUGUCUGUUUCCUUCUGCAGCCAUGCCAAGAAGCUUCUGGGAUUCCCUACUGAUGGCAAGGACCCAACAGUACCCUGAGGACAAAGCUGAGCUGUAUCCAAGUAUCUCAUUUUGCUCACACCUGUUCCCUCUUCUUUCUUCCCCAAACACCCCCUCCUCCAAAACAUUUUUUUUUUUGUCAGAAUGGUUUCCUUAUCACUUUUCAAAUCUCCUGAAAAACCUCAGGAGCCCCUCAUAAAGUCUUUCUCAUGAACCCGCCUGACUCUACAAACUCCUGCUAUUGUGAUGGUUUUCCUCAGAAGAACAUCUACAUGUAAAGGAGCUAAUAAUAGCAGUUCAUA